GCAUCACACAUUUUUGAGUAAUGUGUGUUUUUUUUACUACUAAAAGAAAGUUGAAGUGUGCAGUAGAGUGACAGGAGUUUCCUUCAGCUUGCAGAGACACUCCCCCUGCAGGAGGAAAUGGAUUUACUGCAAGUGUAAGAUGUGGAAAACCUUAAACAUGAAAUUGAGACAGCACAAACUGCAGUAUCAGCUUUUAUUACAGGGCAGCUGCCUGCAGGGUGUCUCAGCUCGUCUUCGGAGGGGAGCGCAGUCCCAGCGUUCUGCCAGCAGCUAACUCUAGGGAAGAGCCUGCCUGCAAAAUACCGCUUGUCCCAGCAGCAGAUUUCCGCCACGAGGAGAGGUCUGAUACUACUUGAGGGAGCGGGAACCUCUCUGAACUCAAGUCACCUCGAACACCUGGCAGCUUCUUGCACAAGUUUGAAUCGAAGGCAGACGCGAGUCAGAGCAGCCUUCACUGAGCAGGGAACACGCAAAAGCAGUUG